GCAGUCCGCUUGCUCGGCCGCAGCGCCUUGCCUUAGAGCAGCUGAUCCGCUGACAUCACCCUGGGAUGGGGCUCUUCCCUGACUGACAGCUCCUCGCACAGCGCGGAAAGCGGAAGCUCCCUAAGCGAAGUCGUGGCUGCUCUUGAAUCCCAACGCCGUCGGGCAGUGUUGUUUUCCCAACGCCGCCGCGCUUGUCGGGGCCUGUUUCGGCGCGAGGAUGACUCUGUUCCCCGGUCAAACCCUUGUGCGCCUUGUGGACUCCAUAAGCCGCGCGGAUAACGACAAAUAGCUCGUUCCCAAUGCGAGAAAUAAAUACCGAUAAAUCUGGACCACAGAUCAGUAUUGCCUCCCCUCUGUUUUGUAAAGACAUGUAGCAAUGCUGGUGAAGUUUAAAUGCAAGUUAGUAAUUCUACAGACAGUUCUAGAUGCUUUUAUGCAACAAUUGAUAUUAAAGUACAGAAACAUCAACCUGACAACAAAGGUGGCUACAAAUGCUGGCUAAUAAUUAACUUGAAAAUUUUCUUGGUUGAUGCACUGGACCUAACAUUUAUACUUUAGAAAACAGAAGUGCAGGAUGCUGUAACUUGACUGGCUAUGAAGUACUGAACGUUUCAGCAGAUACAUCUUACAUAAUAAUCCACAGAUGUUAAGC
rnacentral:lncRNA from 1 species